GAGUCAAAAAGACCGCGAAACCGUUAGGAGGGAAACGAAUGCAGCUGAAGUGGCUCCGUAUCAGGUUCAGGGGAUGUUGGAGGAUGUGCCGGGUCUGGGUAGCUUCAUGCGUCCUGGCUCGGAUAGGCCGCCGACUUCUCUGCACUCCUGUGGGGAGCCGGCCAACAGCAGUUGCUCCUGGCCCAGAAGGUCGGUCGGGAGGUGCCCCUGCACUUGUGCAGGGAACGUAUAGCCGAACGUCCGGCGGUCUGGGAGCGACUGAGGAGAGUCGUGAAUUUUCACGUGUGCAGCGCAGGCCCAUCUGGGCCGGGUCUCCUCUGUCCGUUUGGGUCCCGCGUUGGGGACUGCUUGCAGUGCCUUUUGACGGCAAACCUGCUCGGGCGGGGGAAUGGCCACGCCGUGCGCUCUGGUUGUUGGUGCUCAAAUGGCUGCAUC
rnacentral:rRNA from 1 species